GGCAACGAUCAGUAGGGGUUCUGAGAGGAAGGUCCCCCACAUUGGAACUGAGACACGGUCCAAACUCCUACGGGAGGCAGCAGUGAGGAAUAUUGGUCAAUGGGCGAGAGCCUGAACCAGCCAAGUAGCGUGCAGGAAGACGGCCCUAUGGGUUGUAAACUGCUUUUAUAAGGGAAUAAAGUGAGUCUCGUGAGACUUUUUGCAUGUACCUUAUGAAUAAGGACCGGCUAAUUCCGUGCCAGCAGCCGCGGUAAUACUGAAGGUCCGGGCGUUAUCCGGAUUUAUUGGGUUUAAAGGGAGCGUAGGCCGGAGAUUAAGCGUGUUGUGAAAUGUAGACGCUCAACGUCUGCACUGCAGCGCGAACUGGUUUCCUUGAGUACGCACAAAGUGGGCGGAAUUCGUGGUGUAGCGGUGAAAUGCUUAGAUAUCACGAAGAACUCCGAUUGCGAAGGCAGCUCACUGGAGCGCAACUGACGCUGAAGCUCGAAAGUGCGGGUAUCGAACAGGAUUAGAUACCCUGGUAGUCCGCACGGUAAACGAUGGAUGCCCGCUGUUGGUCUGAACAGGUCAGCGGCCAAGCGAAAGCAUUAAGCAUCCCACCUGGGGAGUACGCCGGCAACGGUGAAACUCAAAGGAAUUGACGGGGGCCCGCACAAGCGGAGGAACAUGUGGUUUAAUUCGAUGAUACGCGAGGAACCUUACCCGGGCUUGAAUUGCAGAGGAAGGAUUUGGAGACAAUGACGCCCUUCGGGGUCUCUGUGAAGGUGCUGCAUGGUUGUCGUCAGCUCGUGCCGUGAGGUGUCGGCUUAAGUGCCAUAACGAGCGCAACCCCUCUCCUUAGUUGCCAUCAGGUUAAGCUGGGCACUCUGGGGACACUGCCACCGUAAGGUGUGAGGAAGGUGGGGAUGACGUCAAAUCAGCACGGCCCUUACGUCCGGGGCUACACACGUGUUACAAUGGCAGGUACAGAGAGACGGUUGUACGUAAGUACGAUCAAAUCCUUAAAGCCUGUCUCAGUUCGGACUGGGGUCUGCAACCCGACCCCACGAAGCUGGAUUCGCUAGUAAUCGCGCAUCAGCCAUGGCGCGGUGAAUACGUUCCCGGGCCUUGUACACACCGCCCGUCAAGCCAUGAAAGCCGGGGGCGCCUAAAGUCCGUGACCGUAAGGAGCGGCCUAGGGCGAAACUGGUAAUUGGGGCUAAGUCGUAACAAGGUA
rnacentral:rRNA from 1 species